rnacentral:lncRNA from 1 species
AGUUGUCUCAUUGCUGAGCCCCUGGCCCUGUCCAUCUCCAGCACACCCGGGGCGGGGUCUAUGCUACUUUACCAAGGUAGGGGAUGACAGGCGAGCGUGACGCACACUGGGUGUGCAUCCCAAAUUUUCCUGAACUUUCAGCCUGAGCACUAUGUAUGUCUCUAUGCCUAAGCCACCCACUGCCAUCUGCGCUAACCACUGUGAUCCUGAGGUCGCAGCUGCUGGACCCUCCCCGGGUCUUGGCAGAGGGAAUGGAGGCCAAGUGGCUAUUGACCAUGUUCUGGAUGUAACACCAAGUUCACAUCAAGAUGGCGAAGUGAGCCGGUCACUGGGAAGUGGGUCAGUUACAUCACAUAAUCAGCAGGGCAGGUACCUAGCAUCCUCUUCUGACCCAUACCAUGACCUUUUGAUUUCUCAGUCUGAGACAGAGGUAGGAUCUCACAAUGCAGCUUAGAGUAAGUAGCCUGGAACACUUUAAUUUUUUUUAAAUUAUUUAUGUGUGUUCAUAUGUAUGUGGGUUGGUGUGCACAUGGCUACCGCGAAUGUGUGGAAGUCAGAGGGCAACUUUAGGGAGUUGGUUUUUUUCUUUCCAUUUUUGGGUUUCGAAGAUUGACUCAGGUCGUCACGUUUGGCGUCUUUGCCCACUGAGCCACCUCCCUGGCGCUGGCUUGGAGCUCUUGAUCCUUCUGCCUUUUCCUCCUAAGUGCUGGGGUUCUAAGCAUGCAACACCAUGCCUGCCCUGGCAUAUCUCUCUCUCUCUCUCUCUCUCUCUCUCUCUCUCUCUCUCUCUCUCUCUCUCUGUAAACAAUGGAUGUUUUUAGUUAGGAUUUUACUGCUGUGAGCAGACACUGUGAUCAAGGCAACUCUUAUAAGGACAACAUGUAAUUGGGACAGGCUUACAGGUUCAGAGGUUCAGUCUAUUGUCAUCAAGGUGGGAGCAGGCACGGUGCAGGAGGAGCUGAGAGUUCUACAUCUUCAUCUGAAGGCCACCAGAAGACUGACUCCCAGGAGCCGUCCAGGUCUGUCAGUGUCAACUACGACCUGCCAAAAGCAGCUCAACCGGCUCAGAAACAACAUCGGUGACAAGGACAAUGAUGCCCACGUGACCAGAACAUUUCCAGAGCUAUCCUCAAAGAUCUGAAGGACAUCUUCCUGCAUCCUCACACACCUCCCGCCAUCCAUGCAAGAGUUCCAUGGAUGAGUUCCAACCGGACCUCUCCAAGGAACUGGACUUCUCUGAGGGACUGAACCUCUCCAAGGGACUGGACCUCUCCGAGGGACUGUCCCAGGGGUAGGGGUUGGUGGCACUUAUCUGACUCUGUAAGACUACUCCCAUAGAGUUUUCGUUAGGAUAUCUUACUCUCCUUAGUUCCCUCAAGCAAGAGAUUAAAAAAACAAAAGC